rnacentral:rRNA from 1 species
UACGGGGGGAGCAAGCGUUGUUCGGAUUUACUGGGCGUAAAGGGCGCGUAGGCGGCCAGCACAAGUCAGUUGUGGAAAUCUCCGAGCUUAACUCGGAAAGGUCAACUGAUACUGUGCGGCUAGAGUGCAGAAGGGGCAACUGGAAUUCUUGGUGUAGCGGUGAAAUGCGUAGAUAUCAAGAGGAACACCUGCGGCGAAGGCGGGUUGCUGGGCUGACACUGACGCUGAGGCGCGAAAGCUAGGGGAGCGAACGGG